rnacentral:rRNA from 1 species
UACGGAGGUGGCAAGCGUUGCUCGGAAUCACUGGGCGUAAAGGGCGCGUAGGCGGGGAGGUAAGUCGGGUGUGAAAUCCCUCGGCCCAACCGAGGAACUGCGCCCGAGACUGCUUCUCUUGAGUCCCGGAGAGGAAGAUGGAAUUCCCAGUGUAGCGGUGAAAUGCGUAGAUAUCGGGAGGAACACCAGUGGCGAAGGCGGCGUCCUGGACCGGUGCUGACGCUGAGGAGCGAAAGCGUGGGGAGCGAUCCGG